AAAGAAGUAAAAACCAGAGUAGAAAAAGGCCUGAGAAGCUUUGCACAGUGGAUACCAGAAUCCCAGGUACAAUGGAUUCCACUCCCACUGGUGGUGCACUACAGAACAUCUUGGUUGUGAUGGCUUCUCUGCUGCGGUUGGCUCAUCUCAAAAGUGAUGCACUAUUUACGGGAGAUACAUCCCUCUGGUCUGACUGGCAUGCUAGCGGUUGUAGAUUUACAGCCAACACGUUAAGAUAAACUCAGCCAGACGCCGUGAUGCCAUUUGGAGCAAUGGAGCGCCCUAGUGGCCUAAACAAGCCAAUGAAUCUCCUCCUUCAUUUGAAUUAGGUCUCAAAAUCUUGAAACUAAGCAAGCGGAAAUAAUUAGCACAAUAAUAUUAGUCACAUUAUAACUUCUGAUAAAAAAACAUUUUGUGAAUGAAUGGGAUAAUUGUAUCUAGA